UUACUGGUAGCAGAAAAAAACAAAUAGACAUAGCUGCACUUUUUUCGCUAUCAUUCUGAGUAUCAUAAUCACUUGCUGUUUUAUUUCACUUUUGACAUUCAUUUUAUGUUAUGUUAUUAGGUUUCUCACUGAAGAAACUUGCGGAGCUUUUAACUGAUGAUGCCCCUUAUAUGGAAAGCCCCGACCCACAAACGUCAACCUGGUGGAAAAGGCAAAGCGAUGCCUAUCUGCACUGGAACCAAUCAAGAGUUGACAACCUGGACAGCUUGUUGGCAUUGUAAAGUGUCACAGCCAGACUCUGCAGUCACUGUUCCUCGGAAGCCGUAGUUAGGUGCCAUGAAUGCAUGCCAUUGGGAUGGUUUUGUCCAUCCUGCGACAUUCAUAUCCAUCAGCAAAGAUUUUCUUUGCACAAUCGACAAACCACCUUUGAAGGUUUUUAUAAAUCUAUUCCACCUUCUGAGGCAGUGACUCUUGAUGACGGCACUUACACCAUCUUUGAACAAGCUGGUUUCCUUCCGGUUGUGUUACCACCAAGAUGUUGCCAAGACAGCGAUGUGACACUCUCUGCUGGCACACCAAUAAUCCUCAUUAACAUAAAUGGUCGUUUUGAGCUUCACACACCAGUUGUCACAUGUACCAACUGUGGUAAUCGCUGGACCCCAGAGGUUUCUGAUUUGGUCAGAAGUGGGUACUGGCCUUCAACAAUGCAGGCACAGACCAUGUAUCAGCAGGACUUGUUUGAGUCCUUUAAAGAAAUGAAGACAACUGCGCCAGGAAUGUCCAGACAAGCUUUCACAUCAAUGCUGGAUCAAAGAACUAAGUACUUUGGAAGAGUGAGUUUAUAACUUUAAUAACUUUCAAUAACAUUUUUAAGGUUUUUAUUUUCAUCACCUGUCAAUAAUUUGCUUGUUUAAAAAUGUCAGA